UAAGCAUAUCAAUAAGCGGAGGAAAAGAAACCAACAGGGAUUGCCCUAGUAACGGCGAGUGAAGCGGCAACAGCUCAAAUUUGAAAUCUGGCUCUUUCAGAGUCCGAGUUGUAAUUUGCAGAGGGCGCUUUGGCUUUGGCAGCGGUCCAAGUUCCUUGGAACAGGACGUCACAGAGGGUGAGAAUCCCGUACGUGGUCGCUAGCUAUUGCCGUGUAAAGCCCCUUCGACGAGUCGAGUUGUUUGGGAAUGCAGCUCUAAAUGGGAGGUAAAUUUCUUCUAAAGCUAAAUAUUGGCCAGAGACCGAUAGCGCACAAGUAGAGUGAUCGAAAGAUGAAAAGCACUUUGGAAAGAGAGUCAAACAGCACGUGAAAUUGUUGAAAGGGAAGCGCUUGCAGCCAGACUUGCUUGCAGUUGCUCAUCCGGGCUUUUGCCCGGUGCACUCUUCUGUAGGCAGGCCAGCAUCAGUUUGGGCGGUGGGAUAAAGGUCUCUGUCACGUACCUCUCUUCGGGGAGGCCUUAUAGGGGAGACGACAUACCACCAGCCUAGACUGAGGUCCGCGCAUCUGCUAGGAUGCUGGCGUAAUGGCUGUAAGCGGCCCGUCUUGAAACACGGACCAAGGAGUCUAACAUCUAUGCGAGUGUUUGGGUGUCAAGCCCGAGCGCGUAAUGAAAGUGAACGGAGGUGGGAACCCGCAAGGGCGCACCAUCGACCGAUCCUGAAGUUUACGGAAGGAUUUGAGUAAGAGCAUGGCUGUUGGGACCCGAAAGAUGGUGAACUAUGCUUGAAUAGGGUGAAGCCAGAGGAAACUCUGGUGGAGGCUCGCAGCGGUUCUGACGUGCAAAUCGAUCGUCAAAUUUGGGCAUAGGGGCGAAAGACUAAUCGAACUAUCUAGUAGCUGGUUCCUGCCGAU
rnacentral:rRNA from 1 species